UGGGGAAUCUUGCGCAAUGGACGAAAGUCUGACGCAGCCACGCCGCGUGAGUGAAGAAGGCCUUCGGGUUGUAAAGCUCUGUCGAGCGGGACGAAAAUCCUAUGAGUGAAUAGCUCAUAGGACUGACGGUACCGCUAAAGGAAGCACCGGCUAACUCCGUGCCAGCAGCCGCGGUAAUACGGAGGGUGCAAGCGUUGCUCGGAAUUAUUGGGCGUAAAGGGUAGGUAGGUGGUCUCAUUUGUCUGGGGUGAAAGCCUUGAGCUUAACUCAAGAAGUGCCCCAGAAACGGUGAGACUGGAGUCCUGGAGAGGGUCGUGGAAUUCCCGGUGUAGCGGUGAAAUGCGUAGAGAUCGGGAGGAACACCAGAGGCGAAGGCGGCGACCUGGACAGGUACUGACACUCAACUACGAAAGCGUGGGGAGCAAACAGGAUUAGAUACCCCCGUAGUCC
rnacentral:rRNA from 1 species